CCCCUUUCCCUCACUGGCCAAAGGGCCUAUAUUGGAGGGGUCAGUUUCGGCUGACUAUGGGGAUAAACGUGCGUGUAAUAAGCGAUUUGGACCCGGGUGCAAUUCCCGGCGGCUCCACCAAAACUUCAGACGUUAUCAUCUGGACAUACGGGGCCGAUCAGGAUCGACAAGCGUGUAAAGACGUGGCUUUCUCUCGGUGUGGGCCUCCGCGAUCGGCCUUAUUGUAACUGCAAACGAUAACUUUGCACAGGAUGUUGCUGUCGCUGCGUAAUGCGGUGCCGGUAAUUCCGACCUAAACUCCUAGGGGUAGCCCCCUAGGCGGGGCCCGGAGGGCGCCUGGCAACAGAAGCCCUCCACU
rnacentral:tmRNA from 1 species